rnacentral:rRNA from 1 species
AACGCUAGCUACAGGCUUAACACAUGCAAGUCGUGGGGCAGCAUGAGGUUUGCUUGCAAACCUUGAUGGCGACCGGCGCACGGGUGAGUAACGCGUAUCCAACCUGGCCCAUAGUAGGGAACAGCCCGGCGAAAGUCGGAUUAAUGCCCUAUGUUCUCCGAAGAAGACAUCUGAUUUGGAGCAAAGAUUUAUCGCUAUGGGAUGGGGAUGCGUCCGAUUAGGUAGUAGGCGGGGUAACGGCCCACCUAGCCAACGAUCGGUAGGGGUUCUGAGAGGAAGGUCCCCCACACUGGUACUGAGACACGGACCAGACUCCUACGGGAGGCAGCAGUGAGGAAUAUUGGUCAAUGGGCGGAAGCCUGAACCAGACAAGUAGCGUGCAGGAAGACUGCCCUAUGGGUUGUAAACUGCUUUUAUCAGGGGAUAAAGUGAGGGACGUGUCCCUUUUUGUAGGUACCUGAUGAAUAAGGACCGGCUAAUUCCGUGCCAGCAGCCGCGGUAAUACGGAAGGUCCGGGCGUUAUCCGGAUUUAUUGGGUUUAAAGGGAGCGCAGGCCGUUUGCUAAGCGUGCCGUGAAAUGUACCGGCUCAACCGGUGACUUGCGGCGCGAACUGGUGGACUUGAGUGCGUACGAGGAUGGCGGAAUUCGUGGUGUAGCGGUGAAAUGCUUAGAUAUCACGAAGAACUCCGAUUG